rnacentral:tRNA from 1 species
GGUGAGGUGGCCGAGUGGUUAAAGGCGGCAGACUGUAAAUCUGCUGACGCAAGUCUACGGGGGUUCGAAACCCUCCCUCACCA